UGCCGCCCGCCAGGCCUGCGCGAGCUCUGAAGCUGCAGGCUCGCCAGAGACGCCAUGUACCGGCUCCUGUCAGCCGUGACAAACCGGGCCGUGACCCACGGGAGCUGCGCCUGGGGCUGCGGGCGGCGUGCAGCUCACCAGCGCGCCGGGCUGCCGCCGCUCGGCCCUGGCUGGGUCGGAGGCCUCGGGCUGGGUCUCGGGCUGGCGCUUGGGGUGAAGCUGGCCGGCGGGCUGAGGGGUGCGUCCCCCACGCCGCCCACCGCGGCCCCAGACCCUGAGACGCCGCCUCAGGCCGAGCCGCUGCCGCUGCAGGAGCAGCCCCUCGCCCAGUGGUCUCCGCAGACCCCGACGCCGCCGCACUCCAGGCGCUUUGCCAGAGCCAUCGACCGCAGCCGCGACCUCCUGCACAGAAUCAAGGAUGAGGUGGGCGCACCGGGCAUUGUGGUUGGAGUCUCUGUAGAUGGAAAAGAAGUCUGGUCAGAAGGUUUAGGUUAUGCUGAUGUUGAGAACCGUGUACCAUGCAAGCCAGAGACAGUUAUGAGAAUUGCUAGUAUCAGCAAAAGCCUCACCAUGGUUGCUAUUGCCAAAUUGUGGGAAGCAGGGAAACUGGAUCUUGAUAUUCCAGUACAACAUUAUGUUCCUGAAUUCCCAGAAAAAGAAUAUGAAGGUGAAAAGGUUUCUGUCACAACAAGAUUAUUGAUUUCCCACUUAAGUGGAAUUCGUCAUUAUGAAAAGGACAUGAAAAAGGUGAAAGAAGAGAAAGCUUAUAAAGCCUUGAAGAUGAUGAAAGGGACGAUGGAAUCUGACCAAGAAAAAGAGUUAAAAGUAAAAGGAGGCAAAAGUAAUGAAAAGAAUGACUUUGCUAAAGCUAAGAUAGAGCAAGAUAAUGAAGCCAAAGGCCGAAAUUCAAAACCUUGCAAGAAAAAGAAUGAUUUUGAACAAGGCGAAUUAUAUUUGAAAGAAAAAUUUGAAAAUUCAAUUGAAUCCCUAAGAUUAUUUAAAAAUGACCCUUUGUUCUUUAAACCUGGUAGUCAGUUUUUGUAUUCAACUUUUGGCUAUACCCUAUUGGCAGCCAUAGUAGAAAGAGCUUCAGGAUAUAAAUAUUUGGACUAUAUGCAGAAAAUAUUCCAUGACUUGGAUAUGCUGACAACUGUGCAGGAAGAAAAUGAGCCAGUGAUUUACAAUAGAGCAAGAUUUUAUGUUUACAAUAAAAAGAGACGUCUUGUCAACACACCUUACGUGGAUAACUCCUAUAAAUGGGCUGGUGGUGGAUUUCUGUCUACAAACAUCUUCACCCAAAAAAGAAAUCCUAUACCCAUUAAUAUUUGCUCUGCAUUCCUGUCUACUCCCGGGCCCUGGCAACCACCAAUCUACUCUCUGUCUCUUUGGAUUUGCCUAUUAUGGAUGUUUCAUCACAGACCACAGAGCGAACUGCUUGGAGCUGCCAAGGAGGUGACAUUUACAUUGGGAGAGGAGGGAAGAGCAUUGUCUGGGUGUCCGGGAGAAGUGCAGCGUGACUGAACUGUCUGUGCGGGAAGAACCACGAAGUGUGAAGAGCCCUGUGAAAGGUGGUGUCUAUUUCUCCACUCCCUUGAACCAGAGGUGGCCUUGUGACUUGCUUUGACCCAGGGAAAUGAUGUUGCACAAGUUCCAGCGCUUAGGCUUCAAGAGGCCAUCAAACUUGCAUCUUCACCCUCCAAGAACACUGCCCCCAAGACGGCCACGUAAGGAAACCAGACUACCUUACUGGAUAACCCAACUGACGGCCAGUACCAGACAUGUGACUGAAGCCAUCUUGGACCUUCCAGUCCAGUUGAGCCUCCAUGCAUGAGUGAGCCCAGAUUUUUCCAAGGUUCCUAAACUGUGCAAGCUGAAGUGGCUUGGAGCAUCAUGGGAGAAACAUUGAUACUUGACAUCUUUUGGAUACCAGGCAAACUUCUAGUUCCAGGGUUCAACAUCUGAUAAGAACUCUUUUAAGUGGCUGACGCGAGACGGUCCUUGAUAAUUUGUAAGGCAACUGCGAAGACACUUUUCAAAAAGGAAACAAGUAGGAAAUCGCUUCCAAGAGAAGGCACAGGGGGCAAGACCCACGAAGCAAAAGGAGAGCAAGAAGACUUCAACGGUCACAGCCUCGCGGGUUCCCACCGAAACCCAGGAGGGCUGACUGAGGUACCCGGGGAGCUGUCCCCUCCCGGCCAUGGACUCCAGACUGCACCCAGGGCGGCGCCGGGUGCAGUCCCAACGGCUCCACGCCCAGGCAGGGCCCGACUUGCCGCGCCGCCGGGCAAGUCCCAACAAGUCCACGACGCGCGAAAGAGCCGCGGGAUCCGAGCAGCCGAGCCGCGUUCGGCCGGGAGACCCGGGGGCCCGCGGAGCCAUCGAGCUAGCCCGCCCCUGGGGCCCCUCGGCUUACAGAGAAGGCAGACACAAACGCGAAGCCCGAAAGUAAACAACUCACAGGCAUGUUGAUCCUUUCGCAAGCCCAGCCCGUGCAGAUCUCUAAGGCGACACCCCAAGCAAGCAGCACGCGACCGGGAGCGCGGCGUCAACUUCCGGGAUAGAGGAGGCUGGGAGGAGCGGAGCGGCGGGCCCGUUGACUCUAGGCGCUCCUCUCUGUGGUGAGGGCUGGCUCCGGCCGGGAUCCGCGGGCGGCGGGCGAGGGGAGGUGCCGAGCCCCUCGUCCAUUCGAGUUCCAAAGCCCGCGAACGUAACGGGCUCCUGGGCUAAGGCCGCCGUCCCCAGGGCUUCGCUCUGGGCAAGUGGUUCCUGGGGCCGGGCUCAGGCGGUGCACGCCCGGAUGGGAAGCCCCCUCGGGCUUCGGGAGCGCCGGCACCGCUGCAGAGCGGACCCGGCUGGGCACGCUUGGUCACUUGUCGUAGGUCCCGCCGCCAAGCCUUCCGCUCUCGGCUGCCCUGCGGGCGGGCACAUGGGUGAUGCCUCUGUUCUUUUAUGUAUUAAAAACAAUAUUAUUAAUUAAAACCAUUAACACGU